GACGAACGCUGGCGGCGUGCCUAAUACAUGUAAGUAGAACGCUGAAGGAGGAGCUUGCUUCUCUGGAUGAGUUGCGAACGGGUGAGUAACGCGUAGGUAACCUGCCUGGUAGCGGGGGAUAACUAUUGGAAACGAUAGCUAAUACCGCAUAAGAGUAGAUGUUGCAUGACAUUUGCUUAAAAGGUGCAAUUGCAUCACUACCAGAUGGACCUGCGUUGUAUUAGCUAGUUGGUGGGGUAACGGCUCACCAAGGCGACGAUACAUAGCCGACCUGAGAGGGUGAUCGGCCACACUGGGACUGAGACACGGCCCAGACUCCUACGGGAGGCAGCAGUAGGGAAUCUUCGGCAAUGGACGGAAGUCUGACCGAGCAACGCCGCGUGAGUGAAGAAGGUUUUCGGAUCGUAAAGCUCUGUUGUAAGAGAAGAACGAGUGUGAGAGUGGAAAGUUCACACUGUGACGGUAUCUUACCAGAAAGGGACGGCUAACUACGUG
rnacentral:rRNA from 1 species